UCUACAACCUUCUUAAUCUUACCUAUUUCUAAAAAAAAAAGUAAUAAUGGGUGUUGUUGGAGGGGGGAAGGUUUAAAACACUUAAAAUGCCCCGGCUACGGCACUGGGUGGUGCACAGCAGAUAUAGAUGAUUAUGCAUGGGUAAAUUACUAUAUUGUUAUACGAUGAUAAUAUACUAUACGAUAUAAUACGGCGCUAAAAACAAAAAAAUGUUCAAAUAUUCAUAAUAACUGAAUUAAAUAGGUAUAAUGUUAUUGCAACCGUACACCAAAUAUCUAC